GGAUUAGAUACCCUGGUAGUCCACGCUGUAAACGAUGUCGACUUUGGAGGUUGUGCCCUUGAGGCGUGGCUUUCCGGAGCUAACCCGUUAAGUCGACCGCCUGGGGAGUACGGCCGCAAGGUUAAAACUCAAAUGAAUUGACGGGGGCCCGCACAAGCGGUGGAGCAUGUGGUUUAAUUCGAUGCAACGCGAAGAACCUUACCUACUCUUGACAUCCAGAGAAUUUAGCAGAGAUGGUUUAGUGCCUUCGGGAACUCUGAGACAGGUGCUGCAUGGCUGUCGUCAGCUCGUGUUGUGAAAUGUUGGGUUAAGUCCCGCAACGAGCGCAACCCUUAUCCUUUGUUGCCAGCACGUAAUGGUGGGAACUCAAAGGAGACUGCCGGUGAUAAACCGGAGGAAGGUGGGGAUGACGUCAAGUCAUCAUGGCCCUUACGAGUAGGGCUACACACGUGCUACAAUGGCAUAUACAAAGAGAAGCGAACUCGCGAGAGCAAGCGGACCUCAUAAAGUAUGUCGUAGUCCGGAUUGGAGUCUGCAACUCGACUCCAUGAAGUCGGAAUCGCUAGUAAUCGUAGAUCAGAAUGCUACGGUGAAUACGUUCCCGGGCCUUGUACACACCGCCCGUCACACCAUGGGAGUGGGUUGCAAAAGAAGUAG
rnacentral:rRNA from 1 species